rnacentral:misc_RNA from 1 species
GAUGAAGAACGUAGUGAAAUGCGAUAAGUAGUGUGAAUUGCAGAAUUCAGUGAAUCAUCGAAUCUUUGAACGCACAUUGCGCCCUUUGGUAUUCCAAAGGGCAUGCCUGUUCGAGCGUCAUUUGUACCCUCAAGCUUUGCUUGGUGUUGGGCGUCUUGUCUCUAGCUUUGCUGGAGACUCGCCUUAAAGUAAUUGGCAGCCGGCCUACUGGUUUCGGAGCGCAGCACAAGUCGCACUCUCUAUCAGCAAAGGUCUAGCGUCCAUUAAGCCUUUUUUUCAACUUUUGACCUCGGAUCAGGUAGGGAUACCCGCUGAACUUAAGCAUAUCAAUAAGCGGAGGA